GCAUUAAUGGGGUAGUGGUAACCUGGGUCGUUGCCAUAAGUUCGCCAUUGUAUGCGUCGACCCGCCGGGGGUUCGAUUCCCCCUUAAUGCA